UACAGAGGGGGCGAGCGUUAUUCGGAAUUAUUGGGCGUAAAGGGCGCGUAGGCGGCCUGGUGUGUCUACGGUGAAAUCCCUCGGCUUAACCGAGGAAUGGCCGUGGAAACUGCCGGGCUCGAGGCCGGGAGAGGGUAGUGGAAUUCCCAGUGUAGCGGUGAAAUGCGUAGAUAUUGGGAGGAACACCGGUGGCGAAGGCGGCUACCUGGACCGGUUCUGACGCUGAGGCGCGAAAGCGUGGGGAGCAAACAGG
rnacentral:rRNA from 1 species